CAGCCGCCGCGGGAAUACAGAGGGUGCGAGCGUUAAUCGGAUUUACUGGGCGUAAAGCGUGCGUAGGCGGCUUCUUAAGUCGGAUGUGAAAUCCCUGAGCUUAACUUAGGAAUUGCAUUCGAUACUGGGAAGCUAGAGUAUGGGAGAGGAUGGUAGAAUUCCAGGUGUAGCGGUGAAAUGCGUAGAGAUCUGGAGGAAUACCGAUGGCGAAGGCAGCCAUCUGGCCUAAUACUGACGCUGAGGUACGAAAGCAUGGGGAGCAAACAGGAUUAGAUACCCGGGUAGCCCUGUCUCUUAUACA
rnacentral:rRNA from 1 species